AUAUUCUGCACGAAAAUGUUGCCUCCACCUCUGGGCAACAAGAAAUGCAUGUCAUUCCUGUGGGGGACAGUAACACCUCAAUGCAGACUGACCAGCCACAGGAACCACUGCAUACAAAUGCAGAGGACUUAAACACCAGCAUCUGGAAUGUGAGACAAAUCAUCCACCAACACCUGCAAUAGUAAGGGUCAAUGUUAUUGGUACUGGUGCUGUCCCUUUUAUCUUGGGUCAUCAAUAGUUUUUUUCCUCUUUAGCUUGCCUGCAAUGAGUCAAAUGAAUACUGUGAUGAGACCACCAUGGAAACAAGAGAACCAGUGACUGUGUUGGAGCAGAUUGACAUUGAAUCCACCACCCUUCCAAC